rnacentral:lncRNA from 1 species
GCCGCUCGCUUCGGGGCCUCGAGUAAGCCCGGGUUCUGGCCGCCGCGGCCGGGCCAUGGAUGACUCCCCCCGCUGGGCAAGGGGGGCAGGGCAAGGAGGGGCCGAUGCACCCGCCUCAAUGGCGACCCGCGCCCGCCUCGGGUCAGCUGUGGAGGCCCCCGCCUCGGGGCCACUCGUCCCGGCCGACGUAGAAGCGCCGUCCGUCCUCGCCCUCUUUCGAGGCUGGGGUAUGGCUCCCCCGGCCUCGGCCUCUCGCCU